GUUUGAUCCUGGCUCAGGACGAACGCUGGCGGCGUGCUUAACACAUGCAAGUCGAACGGUGACGAGGAGCUUGCUCCUCUGGUCAGUGGCGAACGGGUGAGUAACACGUGAGCAACCUGCCCCAGACUCUGGGAUGACAGUUGGAAACAGCUGCUAAUACCGGAUACGAGACGGAGAGGCAUCUCUACCGUCUGGAAAGUUUUUCGGUCUGGGAUGGACUCGCGGCCUAUCAGCUAGUUGGUGAGGUAAUGGCUCACCAAGGCGACGACGGGUAGCCGGCCUGAGAGGGCGACCGGCCACACUGGGACUGAGACACGGCCCAGACUCCUACGGGAGGCAGCAGUGGGGAAUAUUGCACAAUGGGCGAAAGCCUGAUGCAGCGACGCCGCGUGAGGGAUGACGGCCUUCGGGUUGUAAACCUCUUUCAGCAGGGAAGAAGCGAAAGUGACGGUACCUGCAGAAGAAGCACCGGCUAACUACGUGCCAGCAGCCGCGGUAAUACGUAGGGUGCGAGCGUUGUCCGGAAUUAUUGGGCGUAAAGAGCUUGUAGGCGGUUCGUCGCGUCUGCAGUGAAAAUCCGAGGCUCAACCUCGGACUUGCUGUGGGUACGGGCAGACUAGAGUAUGGUAGGGGAGACCGGAAUUCCUGGUGUAGCGGUGGAAUGCGCAGAUAUCAGGAGGAACACCGAUGGCGAAGGCAGGUCUCUGGGCCAUAACUGACGCUGAGAAGCGAAAGCAUGGGGAGCGAACAGGAUUAGAUACCCUGGUAGUCCAUGCCGUAAACGUUGGGCGCUAGGUGUGGGGCUCAUUCCACGAGCUCCGUGCCGCAGCUAACGCAUAAGCGCCCCGCCUGGGGAGUACGGCCGCAAGGCUAAAACUCAAAGGAAUUGCCGGGGGCCCGCACAAGCGGCGGAGCAUGCGGAUUAAUUCGAUGCAACGCGAAGAACCUUACCGAGGCUUGACAUAUACCGGAAACAUCCAGAGAUGGGUGCCCCGCAAGGUCGGUAUACAGGUGGUGCAUGGUUGUCGUCAGCUCGUGUCGUGAGAUGUUGGGUUAAGUCCCGCAACGAGCGCAACCCUCGUUCUAUGUUGCCAGCGCGUAAUGGCGGGGACUCAUAGGAGACUGCCGGGGUCAACUCGGAGGAAGGUGGGGAUGACGUCAAAUCAUCAUGCCCCUUAUGUCUUGGGCUUCACGCAUGCUACAAUGGCCGGUACAAAGGGCUGCGAUACCGCGAGGUGGAGCGAAUCCCAAAAAACCGGUCUCAGUUCGGAUUGGGGUCUGCAACUCGACCCCAUGAAGUCGGAGUCGCUAGUAAUCGCAGAUCAGCAACGCUGCGGUGAAUACGUUCCCGGGCCUUGUACACACCGCCCGUCGAGUCACGAAAGUCGGUAACACCCGAAGCCGGUGGCCCAACCCUUGUGGAGGGAGCCGUCGAAGGUGGGACUGGCGAUUGGGACUAAGUCGUAACAAGGUA
rnacentral:rRNA from 1 species